UGGACAUCUCUCCAUUGGAGACUUGGCUGAGACCACUGAAUUCAUAUCACAGUGAACCAUUUUAAGAUAUUUCUCUCCACUCCAACGAAACAUCUGAGUGCUCCAACCUGGAAAGACCUUAUAAGAAAACAUUUUCAUAUAGAAAGCAUCUUGGUGACAAGUAUUUUGUGGAGUCGAAUCAAUUAAUAAAGAUUAACCACUCCAUCAAGAGGGAUGCCAUCUUGAAAAGAGGAUGAUCCAUCACAGAAACAUGUGUCAGUCCUCAUGCUCU